GACCGGGGACGGCCCCGGUCGUCUUGCCUUCUUUUUAAAGGGACGACCCUU
rnacentral:ncRNA from 1 species